rnacentral:misc_RNA from 2 species
AGCAGCCGCGGUAAUCCCAGCUCCAAUAGCGUAUAUUAAAGUUGUUGCAGUUAAAAAAGCUCGUAGUUGAAUUUUCGGGGAUUGACACAUCGGUCGUGCCUUAAGGGGGUAUGAACUGGUGUAGUCAAUUUCUCACCUUCUGGAGAACCGCGAUGCCCUUAAUUGGGUGUCGCGGGGAACCAGGACCUUUACUUUGAAAAAUUUAGAGUGUUUAAAGCAGGCAUUUUGCUUGAAUACAUUAGCAUGGAAUAAUAAAAUAGGACGGCAUGAUUCUAUUUUGUUGGUUUCUAGGAUCACCGUAAUGAUUAAUAGGGAUAGUUGGGGGCAUUAGUAUUCAAUUGUCAGAGGUGAAAUUCUUGGAUCUAUUGAAGACUAACUACUGCGAAAGCAUUUGCCAAGGAUGUUUUCAUUAAUCAAGAACGAAAGUUAGGGGAUCGAAGACGAUCAGAUACCGUCGUAGUCUUAACCAUAAACUAUGCCGACUAGGGAUCGGAUGAUGUUAAUUUUUUUCAAUGACUCA